AGAACGAACGCUGGCGGCACGCCUAACACAUGCAAGUCGAGCGCCCAGCAAUGGGAGCGGCGGACGGGUGAGUAACACGUGGGAACAUGCCUUUCGGUACGGAACAACUGCGGGAAACUGCAGCUAAUGCCGUAUACGCCCUUACGGGGAAAGAUUUAUCGCCGAAAGAUUGGCCCGCGUCUGAUUAGCUAGUUGGUGAGGUAACGGCUCACCAAGGCUUCGAUCAGUAGCUGGUUUGAGAGAACGACCAGCCACAUUGGGACUGAGACACGGCCCAAACUCCUACGGGAGGCAGCAGUGGGGAAUCUUGGACAAUGGGGGAAACCCUGAUCCAGCGAUGCCGCGUGAGUGAUGAAGGCCCUAGGGUUGUAAAGCUCUUUUGUGCGGGAAGAUAAUGACGGUACCGCAAGAAUAACGCCCCGGCUAACUUCGUGCCAGCAGCCGC
rnacentral:rRNA from 1 species